UCCUCCUUUCUGAAGAACUGUAAUGCCAUUAAUUUGGUGUUGCAGGGAAACAGGACUGUUACUUUGAAAAAAUUAGAGUGUUUAAAGCAGGCUAACGCUUGAAUACAUUAGCAUGGAAUAAUGAAAUAGGACGUUUGAUCCUAUUUUGUCGGUUUCUAGGAUUGACGUAAUGAUUAAUAGGGAUAGUUGGGGGCAUUAGUAUUCAAUUGUCAGAGGUGAAAUUCUUGGAUUUAUUGAAGACUAACUACUGCGAAAGCAUUUGCCAAGGAUGUUUUCAUUAAUCAAGAACGAAAGUUAGGGGAUCGAAGACGAUCAGAUACCGUCGUAGUCUUAACCAUAAACUAUGCCGACUAGGGAUCGGAUGAUGUUAAUUUUUUAAUGACUCAUUCGGCGCCUUACG
rnacentral:rRNA from 1 species